CGCAGCCGCGAUAAUUCCAGCUCCAAUAGCGUAUAUUAAAGUUGUUGCAGUUAAAAAGCUCGUAGUUGAAUUUCGGGGUCAGUAGGUUGGUCAUGCCACUGGUAUGUACUGGUCUCACUGAUUCCUCCUUCCUGAUGAACUGUAAUGCCAUUAAUUUGGUGUUGCGGGGAAUCUGGACUGUUACUUUGAAAAAUUAGAGUGUUUAAAGCAGGCUAACGCCUGAAUACAUUAGCAUGGAAUAAUGAAAUAGGACGUUCGAUCCUAUUUUGUUGGUCUCUAGGAUUGACGUAAUGAUUAAUAGGGAUAGUUGGGGGCAUUAGUAUUCAAUUGUCAGAGGUGAAAUUCUUGGAUUUAUUGAAGACUAACUACUGCGAAAGCAUUUGCCAAGGAUGUUUUCAUUAAUCAAGAACGAAAGUUAGGGGAUCGAAG
rnacentral:rRNA from 1 species